UCAGAACUAAGGGCAAGCACUCAAGGGAGCACAUACUCAAGGGAAUAAGGAGUGCUUAGGGAGUGCCCCCCGGGUGCCAGGCAUGGGCUACGCUGAGAGAUCUAUGUGCACUACGACUUGGGGUCUCCCUAAACUGAUCGCAGUAAUCCCCUGGAGCACUUAGUAAAGAUAAAGGGAGCCCCAAGAGUCAGGGUGCACUUUUAGUGCUCUUUGAAAUGUUAACCACAUCAAAAGUAUAAAUGAUAGAAACUUACAAAAACCAUCCGUUGAUAAGUGUAAUUAUUUAAAUUCCUCUUGUACUUAUUUGGUUUCGUGAAUUUUUAAUAAGACAUUUUAAAUUUAAUUUUGUCGUUUCAGUCAACAUUUGCUAUCUUCCAAAAAACACAAAAUGAAAAUUUCAUUAUUUGAAAUUCAAAACAACCCAAAUGUCCAUCAGUGGGUGACUGGAUAAACAGAUUGUAGCGUAUCUGUACAUCGGAAUGCUACUUGACAAUUAACUGUUGAAACAGGCAAUGAGGAUGGCCCUCAAAAUAAUGAUGCUGACUUAGAGAAGCCAGACAAAAGAUAGUGUAUACUGUUUGAUUCCAUUUCUGUCCCAUUAAAAAAAAUUUUUUUAACGUUUAUUUAUUUUUGAGACAGAGAGAGAGCAUGAACAGGGGAGGGUCAGAGAGAGGGAGACACAGAAUCUGAAACAGGCUCCAGGCUCUGAGCUGUCAGCACAGAGCCCGACGUGGGACUCGAACUCACGGACCGCGAGAUCAUGACCUGAGCCGAAGUCGGCCGCUUAACCGACUGAGCCACCCAGGCGCCCCAUUUCUGUCCCAUUUUAGAAAAUGCAAACUAGUGAUUGCAGAGAAGUGGUGCAGAAUGUGGCUCAGGGGUUGUCUAGGAGGAGAGGAGAGACGGAGAAAUUACAAAGGGGCACAAGGGAACUUGUGGGCGUGCUAAAUACAUUCAGUGUCUUGAUUGUAGGGAUGGUUGUGUAGUAUGUCAAAGCUUACCGAAAUGCACACUUCAAAUAUUUGCAGCUGUUGUGUAUCAAUCAUACCUUACUACAGUUGUAACAAUGGGGGCAGCUGGCUGGUUCAGUCACCAGAGCAUGUGACUCUUGAUCUCCGGGUUGUAAGUUCGAACUCCACGUUGGGUGUAGAGAUUACUUAAGAAAAUAUUUUAAAAAAGGAAAAUACGGUUGUGACGAUGGACACAAACAUAAUAAACCUUUGAAAUAUGAACAUUAUUAUUCAAAAUCCGUGAGACUAACUACACAUAAAAGAAAAUUAAGCUGCAAUGUUCUUUGUAAAGUUGUAGCAUUUAUGGUUCUGGAAUAGAAGUGUAUGUAACAGACUAUACUUCCGCUAAACCUUAAAAGGGCACUAAGACUUUUGGAACAUCAAGGUCCGCCAGCUCUAUAGACUCACUUGGUGAGUCUUAAUAAGUGAGAUGGAAAACAGCACCAUUUAUUUCAUUGUCUUUUUUUUUUUUCUUUCUCUCUCUUCUGUCUUUCCAGAAACCCACAAGCGUGGCGCUGCUGUCGGCUUUCUCUCCAAUUGAGGGGUCUGAGGCUCAGAGGGGCUGGGUGCAUUGUCGUUAAAAGCAGUGCUGGGAUCCCGGUCCCGGGAAGUCUGACGUCAAAGCCUGCGCUUGGGGUAACUCAGGCAGGGUGGGGGGACUUGUAUUUCCAAACUCCACCAAGCCCUGUGCCCCGUUAGCUGCUGACCACAAGGCUGGCCAAAUCCCAGGCUGGUGCCUCCCCCACUCACAUCAAAGGGCCCCAGACUUCAAAGGCAAGUUGAGGGGAGAUGCACAUACCUGGCUUUCCCAGGAGAGCCCAGGAGAGCUAAUAUGAUUAACCAGAGACCCAAUGGGGCAGGAAGAGUCUUCACGGAGCAGAUAAUUCAAUGGAAGGAACUCGAAAACAUUCUCACCCACCACCCACCCUCAGCAUCUUUCAUUCUGUGGCUACUAACACUCUAGACACCUGGGAAUUAGGGGUGAGGUGGGGGCUGUACCAAAUGUGUGUCCAUUCCAUAGACGGAAAAACAUGCUGGAAACCAAUUGUUUACCAAUUUUGUGCCAGGCAUAGUGCUGAGUGUUUUGGACACAUGCCUCACAUUAUAGUCUGUAAGUGUAAUUAUUCCCAUUUUACUGAUGGAAAAACUGAGGCUUGGAUGGCUUAAACACUUGCCCAAGUUCAAGUCGGUACUAAGCAGCUGAGCUGGUAUUGGGGUCCAGGUCCAUUUUGACGCUAGCGCUCAUUCUCUAUCCUAUCAUUUGGAAGAGGACAAAGAGCUAAUGGGGUCUUAGCUUCCCUCCGGUGUCUUUCCUUCCGGUCUUUCCUUCACUCCGGUGCGAGGGCGACAGACACAGGAGGUGGCACUGUGCCUGACUGCUCACUCACCACAUUCGCAUCUUUGGGGGACAGGGACUGGGUAAUCGUCCCCACGAUUUGAGAUGUUAUAAAUCUAUAAGACCCCUCACAUCCCCACCCCAUCCCUUGGCUCCCCUUGUCCGUCCUCCCUGUGGACUGCACCCUCAGAACCAUGUUCUUUCCCUACUGGGAAGAUUUAAGAUCCCAGGACCCUGUUUCUGCCUGUACCUGCCUCAGGUGCUGAGCUGCCCUAGCAGGGCUGAAGGGACUGGUAACAGAGACCUACAGGGCCCUGCCCUGGGCGGCAUCCCUCCAAGAAACUCACGACCCUCAGGGGGCCUGCACAGGGAGAAGGUUUUGGUUUAAAUUAGUACCAAUUACACUUGUGGUAGUUUGCGGGGAGGUGAAGGGAGUUGGGACACCUAAGAUCUCUCAGCUCAACCCAGACCAACAUGGGACCUUGGCCAGGGCACAUGGCCUCAUGGAGCCUGUUUCUGCAUUUGGCCUGGUUCCAGGGCCCUUACAUCAUGCCCCCUGUUACGCACCUCCUCUUAGGCUACGAGCUGCCAGGGGACCGAAGUCUCCUUUGACCCUGCACCCAGUGCCCUGUGUACAACGGGUGCUAUAAAUGAGGCCACAAAGGGCACUUUUCUUGUCAGAGAGCUUGCUUUCCCCAUGAAGGUUGGUUGGUUGUUGUCAUAGGGAGGUGGCCCAGGCAAAGGAAAGGAGCCCCCGCUUUGGAGGAGUCAAACCUGUGCCCAUUAGCCUGAGUGCCUGCCUCUGGUUCGCUUCUGUGUUUGUGGAGAGGGUCUUAAAGGGAUGUGAGGGGGCGGUCGGCCUCGCACGUCUGGCACUGUGCGGGUACAGCUGACACGCCCAGACGUCACGGCGAAGGCCAGGGAGUGAGGGAGCGCGGGCGCCCUGCGGGACCCGCUCCCGGGGCGGGGGAGGGGGGGAGCAUGCCAAGGACCACCCCAGUGACUCUGCCAGCAGGCCCAGCUGCUGCAGUGUGCCAGGGGACAGGAGGCCAGAGGCAGCGUGCUUCCUACCCCAGAAGCUGCUGCCACCCCUGGGCUCAGGGAGAGCAGGGGCCCUCCCCACUGCCCUCCAGCCACAGGGGAACCCAGGCGACAAUAGCAGGUGCCGCACCGUGCCCCAGAGCACCGGAGGCUGACCCAGCGACAACGCGGGGUUGUCUCCGCUGGUGCUCACAGCUCUACAGGAUGGGCCCUGAGAGGUCAGGCCCCUUGCUUGAGGUUAUGGAGUUACCCUGAGGCCAGUGAAGUGUCUCAAGCGUGGAUUUCCCUGUCUUUGUCCCAGGAGGAGCCCCUGCCCGGGAGCAUGGCAGAGUCUGGCGUCAGGAGAGCCACCUCGGAUGAGAGUCAUCACCACCUGAGCCUCAGUGCUUCGGGAGGUGGGAGUGGCACCUACCCUUCAGGAUCACAGUGGAAGCACCGCUCUGCUGAUCGCAGGCUUAUAUGCCGGUUAUGAAGUUCCUAGUCUAUGCCAUGCCUCGGGCUGGGACGCAGAGAUGAACAGAGCUCACGCCCCUGCCCUCGGGGAGGUCCCUGCCCAGGGGUGGAGGGGGCAGGCAGGCCGUGGCCAGUGGGUCAGGCCACGGGUGCCAGCCUUGAGGUGUGCCGCUCGGAGCUCCCUUCCAGAGAACUCGCUGCAGGACGCAGUAAGCUGACUGCCCCUGGCCGCCACACCUUCAGGAUCCACAGCCACGUUCACACGGAGGCCACCGUCUCCCUGGGCCGCUCCCGGCCGGUGGCUGAGCCCAGCUGAGGCACCAGCGUGGGCCACGUUUGCCAGAUGCAGGACCGCUUUCCUGGGCAGUCUUUGCUCUGGCCGUCCCUCGGCCUGGCCGUGAUGCGCAGUGCGCGACGUGCUCGGGGCCUGUGCUGGGUCUUGGGCUCUUCCUCCCCGCCCUCCUUCCUGCGCCUCCUUUCAUAGAUGGCAGGCCUGCCCUGCGCUCUGAACACGCUCCCUCUUACUCCUGCCCCAGUCUUUCCCACGCCUUCCCCCCCAGGUGAGCUCUUGCAUGGCUGACCUGGCCUUGCUGUCUGCUUUCCAGUGGGUCGUUUCUGACGCACAGUAUAAAAUGGCACAUUCUCUUCUGGUAGCAGGCCACGGGGGACAUCAGAUGUCUCACUCGGUUGCUGGGUCGCGGGGGCCGCCAAGUAUUGUGGUGGGGAAAGGCGAGCUUUGAAGCCAGGCUGCCCGGUGAGAAGCCCACUCCGCCCCUUUCCCAGCAGUGUGCCCUGGCCAGCGUAGUUCACCUCCCCGAGCCUCAGUUUCCUCAUCUGCUAAAGGAGGCUACUCCUGCCUCCUGGGACGGAGGCAAGCUUGCAGUGAGUUAAUAUACGUGCUGCCGAGGCGAAGCGAGUUAAUGCACACGAACAGUGGCACAGGGUGAACGGUUAGUGUCUAUCCUUCCCGGUGGGAGGGAAGACUGUGCGGAGGAGGGGGCAAGAUGCCGUCUCUGAAUCUGCUGCCUCUAGUUCCAGAAAGCACCGUGGAUUUGGGGGGCCGUAUGUGCUCCUCUGAGCCUCGGCCGGCACACUCGUAAGGGGAGUUGCCAUCACCUGCUGCCCUGUCAGCUGCAGGUGGGAAUGUUGCAUCCGUGCUAAUGGGUGGGGGAAGGCCAAAAUCUUCGUGCAAGGGCAGGCGACUAAGAGUUGGAAGGGACUAUUGGAGCUGGAAGAGUGCCUCGGAGUUUAUUGGCCCAGUGGUUCCCAAACACCAGACUCAACUGCGGCCUCAAAACCAGCCAGGGGGCUUUCCCAGUUGCCAGCCCUGGAAAUCCUGGCUUAGGAGGACUGGAGGGGAGCCUAGGGGUCUGAGGUUGAAUCUUUCUUGCUGGCGAUUCCAACGCGCACACAGGCAGGCUGGGGAACAACUGUCCGGUCCUGGCCCAAGAUUUACCCCUGACUGCCAGGGCAGUGAAUGCCUGUGUCACAUGGCCUGGGCCCCUGGGGGCGGUGGUGGUGAUGGUGGAGGGGUGCCUGUCCGGGCCUUCCAAGCCAGCUGAGCUACAGUGGCCUCCAGUUUCUGUGAAUAUGCACGGUGUGCUUUUAUGCUUCUGAGUUUGUUUUGGAGAGGAACAGCCUCUAAGGAGCUGGCCUGUUUCCCUGUGGCUUUGAGCUGCCCAUGCCCACUGCCGGGUGCCUCCAAGACAGCAAGGAGACAGUGGGGUGGUGUCUGUCCCUUCUGAGAGGCCAAGUUCUAGGCCAUUGUGGACACAGAAGGAGACUGGGACAGGUAGUGAGUUCCUGGUCUCUGGGAGCAGUCAAGCAGAGGCGGGGACCACUGCCUUUGGGGAUUUCAUACAGGGAGUCCUUCUGCAUCCGGCAGGGUGCACUGCUUCACCUCUCAGCCUUUGUUUCUUUAAACCGCAUUUAUUACAUCCAUUGUAUUCUGACGCGGGUAGGGAGGAAACCGUGUGAUAUGGAGGGGUUGCUUUAAGAUACGCCAACAAGAACACCAAAAGAAAAAAAGAGACAACAGUAGAGGAAGCAAAAUCUUGAUGGUUGUCUAUCUGAAUGAUGGGUACAUAAAAUCGAGUAUACUAGUCUCCAUCUUUGUUCGUAUAGAAAAUGUUCAAAAUAAAAAUUAAAAAUGACUUAACUAUUAGACUAUGUCAUAGACGGGGCGCCUAGGUGGCUCAGUCUGUGAAGCGUGUGACUUCAUUCAGCUCAGGUCACGAUCUCAUGGUUUGUGGGUUCGGACGCCACGUCAGGCUCUGCUCUGACAGCUCGGAGCCUGGAGCCUGCUUCAGAUUCUGUGUCUCCCUGUCUCUCUGACCUCCCCGGCUCACACAGUCUCUCUCUCAAAAAUAAAUAAACAUUUAAAAAAAAAAAAAAAGAACACGUCAUAGGUGCAUGGGCUGAAAACGUCGGCUGUACCAAAGGCUAAUGAGUGGAAGGUGAGUGGGCUUCCCAUUUUGAGGCCCCAAUUCCCCUGCGAGGGCUAAGCUCUCUCCCUGGAAUCUACCAUAGCCUGUCAGAGACGGAGCAUGUGUAUACAAAUCUAUGAGGUCAUUUAAAAAAUUAUUUUAAAAUAGAUAGCACACACACACACACAUUCAUACCCUUUUUUGCAGCUCCUAAGUGCUAGAAUAUUAGACAUUCUGUCCUACAGUUUCUUCUCCUGGCUCCCUCCCUCUUGCCUCCUCUCCUUCCUCCUUAACUCAGCCGCAGAGUUGAGUAAAUAAUUUUCCUGAACCCUCAGCACCUGAUCAUGAUCGACGUAGGCAAAGCUUUUCUCGUGUGGUUCCCUUUGUUUUAUUUUCCCUUUGUGUCAUCCUUUUCCUCAUAGGCACCCGUGGUAGAGUGUUGGAUAGAUGUUUUCGUGUGAUGUACAUAUCCUCGCUUAGAGAGGCUACGGUAUUUUUCUGUGUAUAAGCCUUGUUACUUUCCAUCGAGGGUAUUUUGCGGCCCGUUGAGCUCUGCUGAUGAGUUUGCCCCGGAACGCUGCAUUUUCCACGCUCGCUCCGCAUUUCUGCGUGUCCCCCUGGAUUGUUGGGUGCAACUGUUGUGCAGGAUUCCGUGGUUGAAAUCCCCGUGGCUUAUCCAUUCCUCUCGAGACAGGCCCUGCACCGUCACAGACAACACUGCCCUGACCGUCCGU